CUUACUUUUUGAGAUUAAGAAAUGUGCUGAUUUGAAGGUGAAAGACAUUUGCCGAAAUUUGUCCCCUCUUUUUUCUCCAAUACUUAGGCUGUUUAUUGGGGUCCCUUUCUCUCCAGCCCAUUUACUGGAGUAGGGCCUUGCAAAGCCGGUCUCCUAGCAGCCAGUGCAGAAGGCCCAUUCGUAUCACAAUGGACGGGAAGGAAAGAAAGAGCCUGGUUUGUUUAAACUGCCUCUGUCUUCAUUCACAGCCUGAUGUCCGUCUGCAUUGUGACACCCACAAUGGCACUAAAGGACCCAUUGUGGCCGAAAACAAAUCAAAACAGAAUAAGGGAUGCUGAGAAAAAGAGCCAUGCAACAAAAUUGCUUAAAAAACCUAAGUCUUACGUCUGAGAUUUAUGUUACCUUUUGGCUGCGCGGCCUAUUGCCGGUGUUUAUAGUAACUGCUGGAGUUUAAUCAAAAAAAGAUAAAUGCCAA
rnacentral:lncRNA from 1 species